UGCAGUUGGAGAGAGAGAUGGACUUGCGCCUAUGACGCACUGGUUGACGCCGUCCGCGAGCCCGGGUGCACGGUGGCGCUCGCGGACCUCCACCGCUGCCUCGACGCUUUAGCGAGUCAUGUGACCGAGCCGAGGGCCUCGUCCAGGUGGCCGCCGCCGGACUCGGCCCCGCCGCCUCCCGCCACGACGAGAUGUUCCGCGCGCUCACGAACCUCCACCGCUGCCUCGACGCCUUCAGCGAGUCCCGCGACCGAGCCGAGGGCCUCGUCCAUGCGGCGGCCGCCGGCCUUGACCCCGCCGCCUCUCGCCAUGACAAGCUGUUCCGUGUCGUGCGCAUGGUCGAAAAGGAUCUCCGGGCCUCCGCAGCCGGCCGGGAGGAGAACAAGAUGGAAGAGAAGAAGAAUCGCCCUCCGACCAUGCCGCUGGCGGCCGAGGACAAAUAGCCCAAUCGAUCUACCUCGUCUCCUAUUCAGAUGAAAGAAACUGUGACGGGAAAGGAGAGAUGGACUGGGAUAUUUUGCCUUGCUGUGCCGCAUGGUGGCCGAGAUGCGGUAGCUUCAUGCUCUGUUCCGAUGGGCCUCCUCUGCUCGAUGGUUGCCGCUGGUUGAGUUUGGUACGGUUUCCUGUUGUCGCUUGCGUCGAGCCCUGGGUCUGUCUCUCCUUCUCAUUGAUCCUACUUCUCCUGUCAUUGGCGCUUCUUCUUCUCGUCCAUCCUGCUGCUUACCCAACGUGCUUCUGCUUGCUGCCUCGGGUCGUACGAUUUCUUCUUUCGCUGUGUCGUUCGACUCGUCAAGGUUUUCUUCUUUCCUUUCUACUACAUGUGUGCGUGUUUUACUUUCAGUAUCUUCUACGUCAUGGUGUCUGCCUUGGUGAUCUUUUAAAUAUCUGUAUGUCGUGCUGAUCGUUUAAAAGUUUCGGAUAUGGUCGGGGGUUGUGUGUUGUUCGUUCUUGUGCUACUUAUAUUUUGUGUAUGCGUGCGAGCAGGAUGUGUACGCUGUUUCCGUUGUUAUACCUGGUAGCUCGAUGCGCUUUGCCGUCGCUUUCAUAUUUGUGUGUGUUGUCGCAGAGGAUGGCUCUGUUCUUCCUGGUGUAGAACUCGAGCUCCCAGUGGGACAGUUCUGGCCCUAUGGAGAAGCUUGAUGAAGAAGCCGAGGCGCAGCUACUUUCAACCCUCAUGCUAUAUACCCAUAUAUACACAUGUCUCCCAGUUUUGGUUUUGUCUCACGCACGAGGCGAGUUCCGGUGGUAAAGCUGAAACUUCAUCACUUACUGUUGAAGAAAAGGAUGAUAACAAUGACCAGGCUCAGAUGAUAACAAUGACCUGGGAGUUCUUUUGUGUACACUCAUGGUACUCUGAAUAAUUGAUGCAGAAUGAAGGGGCGAGCAUAAAAGAAAUGCAGAGCCAGUUUCCCUCGGAUGCAGUGUAUUAUUACACUGACUUUGAGGAUAGACAACAGUCUACUGGGGUUGGUUAUUGCAAUUAAAAGGCUACUCCACCAAUGGUGAAAAUCCCCUACAAAAUGAUGCUGGAUGUCCUUUUAGAAUCUUUGGGCCUGCCAGAGGUUGAGUAUCGAACCAAAGUAUGUGUAUGCGAGGGUGGUACAAAGUUAUGAAGAACCCCAUUUUCGUUCAGAUAUGCACGCCUUUUUGUCAUCCGGAGUCUUUGCAUUUACGUUUAUAUUAUUGAUUCAGGUUUAGUUGUUUAGAUCAAAAUUGUAAUCUUGCGUGUAGAAUGGGCAGAUUAUUUCUCACUUUGAGGACUCUGUUUUGUUCAUCGGAAUUUUUUUUCCAGUGCCCCGAGAACUUGGCUUUGAUGUUCUUCCCAAAAUGAAUUGAAAUUACUAUGAUUCAUGCAAGUUACUUGGCAAAGAAAAUUGUUCUCUGCAUAGUGGAUACAUGUACUAUUUGGAUAGUGGAUACAUGUACUGACCGUAGAUUCUUUUACUUAUCUGAGGCAAGUAUUCUAAUUUAUUUAGCAUGCACCUGCAAAUUAGCCUGAUAGUUUAUCAAUCUAUCAUUCAGAUGUGGCUAGGUUUUUCUGUUAUCCGAAAACACACAUUAUAUUGUCUUUGUUUUUACAUAAAGAUGUAGAUGUUGAGAAGUAUAUUAUUUUGAUUGCUGAGUCGGUCUAUUGUG